rnacentral:lncRNA from 1 species
UCUUUGUCUCACACUUGUUUCCAAAAGAUCUUUGCUCUACAAUCGACGUUGGCGGUACUAAAAAAGCAUGAUGCGAGAUAAUGAUACUAUAUUAUAUUUUCUUCUUACGUUUGAUUUAAUGACUGAUGGAUGAAUGAAAGAAGAAAGAGAAAACAAAAGAACUGAUUAAAAAAAAAAACCACGUUUUGCAAAACAAAUAAAAGAAGGUUUGGAGUGGAGGUGGCACUUGUUGGACUAUGCGACGCACGGACGCGGUAUCCCUUUUCUUUUCAACUCGUUGCUUAGACCAUGUCCAAUGGUAGUUUGUUAAGUAGUUUCUUAGUAAUAAAAGACAAAAAAAUAAAUCAAUAAUGACAAUAAAACUAAGAAAUGUAUGUUAGGUUAGAAGUUUUGAGAGAGUUUUUUAGUGAUAGGUGUCAAUAUAUGAGUGGUUUGAGUUUAGGAAAAAGAAAAAAACAUUUUGUUGGCAACAAUUAAAAUAUAAUUUGUACUAUGUGUUUUUAUUAUGUUUUAAUAUUAUAUGUGUUACAAAUUUUAUAAAAUCC